rnacentral:rRNA from 1 species
AUGCAGUCGAGGGGCAGCGGGAGUAGCAAUACUUGCCGGCGACCGGCGCAAGGGUGCGUAACGCGUGAGCAACAUGCCCGUAUCAGGGGGAUAAUCCAUGGAAACGUGGUCUAAUACCCCAUAGUAAGUUUUUGAGGCAUCUCAAAGAUUUUAAAGCUUUGGUGGAUACGGAUUGGCUCGCGUGACAUUAGCUAGAUGGUAGGGUAACGGCUUACCAUGGCUACGAUGUCUAGGGGUUCUGAGAGGAAGGUCCCCCACACCGGAACUGAGACACGGUCCAGACUCCUACGGGAGGCAGCAGUGAGGAAUAUUGGACAAUGGAUGGAAAUCUGAUCCAGCCAUGCCGCGUGCAGGAAGACGGCCCUAUGGGUUGUAAACUGCUUUUGUAUGGGAGCAAUAAGAUCUACGUGUAGAUUGAUGAGAGUACCAUACGAAUAAGCACCGGCUAACUCCGUGCCAGCAGCCGCGGUAAUACGGAGGGUGCAAGCGUUAUCCGGAUUUAUUGGGUUUAAAGGGUGCGUAGGCGGUUUGAUAAGUCAGCGGUGAAAUAUUUCAGCUUAACUGGAAGGGUGCCGUUGAUACUGUCAGGCUUGAAUUUAGUUGCUGUGGGUGGAAUGUGUGGUGUAGCGGUGAAAUGCAUAGAUAUCACACAGAAUAUCGAUUGCGAAGGCAGCUCACAAAGCUAAUAUUGACGCUGAUGCACGAAAGUGUGGGGAUCAAACAGGAUUAGAUACCCUGGUAGUCCACACUGUAAACGAUGAUAACUCGCUGUCGGCG